rnacentral:rRNA from 1 species
CACGGGGGGGGUAAGCGUUGUUCGGAAUUACUGGGCGUAAAGAGCUCGUAGGCGGCUCAGUAAGUCGGGUGUGAAACCCUCAGGCUCAACCUGGGGACGCCACCCGAUACUGCUGUGGCUAGAGUCCAGUAGGGGAGUGUGGAAUUCCCGGUGUAGCGGUGAAAUGCGCAGAUAUCGGGAGGAACACCAGCGGCGAAGGCGGCACUCUGGGCUGGUACUGACGCUGAGGAGCGAAAGCGUGGGUAGCAAACAGG